ensembl:lncRNA
AUGACAACAAAGGUAAACAACUGAAGGAAAUAUGAAAUUAGCAGUAUUAAAUAUACAAUAAUUUUAUAUCCAAAAUGAGGAUAAGACUGAUAACAAAUAUGGUUCCAAUAUAUACCAAUUUUCAUCCAUAUAUAGUUCAUUGUGUAUUCUGCUAGAUAUAUUGUUCGAUAAAAGGUCAACCUAGUGUUAAUAAACUCAAUGAAUAGAACUCUCUCUUUCACACACACAUACACAGACACAAUUACCUUGAGCACUGAGCCUGAACCACACAAAUCUUUCCUGAGGGAGAACAGCUGUGGUGAGCGGGUCACCAUUAUCCAACUCAACAGGACCAGAGGGUCCAGGGCUUUCCUGCUCCUCCUGCCCAGAAGAGGACCUCAGCAGUGGCCCUGGAGAUCAGAGACCACUGACCUUACAGCGGCACCAAAGAUCUACACACACAUACUGUAUGCGCACACAAAGCGUGUGUCUCCAUGAAGAAUGCGUGAGGGAGAGACUCUCAGAAAAGCGCACAAAAGCCCUUUACCCCAAAAAACUGGGUCAGAGAGGGUUGUCGUUUGAGGGGGGGGAGGUGGUGUUAUGGUUUUGAUGUGGGAGGCUGGGUGGGUUAAUAUCCCUGACAGCGGGGGAACAGACAAUGAUGAGGGGAGAACAAGAGAGCUAAGCCAAAAUCAAGGGUGAUGUUCAGCCUGUAACAAGAAACCAGAAGAUUUCCACAACCUCCUUCCUCAACACACAAACACAAAGACAUGCACACUUGUCACAGAUAAGUGAGUAAGCAAUAUCUCUUCCAUAACCUUAUCGCCGACUUCCUCUCUGAAGCCCACCCCCCUCUCUCUCUAGCACUUUCACAGCACACUGCUGGAAGGAAGGGAACUUCUUAAUGCUUGCUCUUGUACUGUAUUCAUCUGCCCAUCUUUGGUCAUGGCUUAAAUUAGAGCUUCCAGCGAUCUCCAGCGCUCACAUUCUUAUCCAUACACUGUUUUCCCUUUCGUUCUUAUCACGCCCCACUCUCUCUUUAUGUGUUUCUCUCACAGUAAAGAGGGAGGCGAGAUUACAAUCACAGUAUUAAACAGCUACUUCCACAGACAGUGAGUGGGAA